rnacentral:rRNA from 1 species
AUUGAACGCUGGCGGCAGGCCUAACACAUGCAAGUCGAGCGGAGCGGCGGAAGGGUGAGUAAUGCCAAGGAAUCUGCCUGGGAGUGGGGGAUAACGUCAGGUAACGGGCGCUAAUACCGCAUACUAUCAGAAGAGCCUAGGUCGGUUUAGCUAGUUGGUGGGGUAAAGGCCUACCAAGGCGACGAUCCGUAACUGGUCUGAGAGGAGGAUCAGUCACACUGGAACUGAGACACGGUCCAGACUCCUACGGGAGGCAGCAGUGGGGAAUAUGGAACAAUGGGCGCAAGCCUGAUCCAGCCAUGCCGCGUGUGUGAAGAAGGUCUUCGGAUUGUAAAGCACUUUAAGUUGGGAGGCGUUACCAGCAGAAUAAGCACCGGCUAACUUCGUGCCAGCCGCCGCGGUAAUAC